UACGUAGGGUGCGAGCGUUGUCCGGAAUUACUGGGCGUAAAGAGCUCGUAGGUGGUUUGUCGCGUUGUUCGUGAAAUCUCACGGCUUAACUGUGAGCGUGCGGGCGAUACGGGCAGACUGGAGUUCGGCAGGGGAGACUGGAAUUCCUGGUGUAGCGGUGAAAUGCGCAGAUAUCAGGAGGAACACCGGUGGCGAAGGCGGGUCUCUGGGCCGAUACUGACGCUGGAGGAGCGGAAAGCAUGGGUAGCGAACAGG
rnacentral:rRNA from 1 species